UCCACAGUAGCUCAGUGGUCGAGCUAUCGGCUGUUAACCGAUCGGUCGUAGGUUCGAGUCCUACCUGUGGAGCCA
rnacentral:tRNA from 1 species